GAUGAAGAACGCGGCGAAAUGCGAUACUUGGUGUGAAUUGCAGAAUCCCGUGAACCAUCGAGUCUUUGAACGCAAGUUGCGCCUCAAGCCAUUAGGUUGAGGGCACGUCUGCCUGGGCGUCACAUAUCGUUGCCUGAUGCCAGUUUCCUCGUGAUGGGUGACUGUGCAGGGCGAAUGAUGGCUUCCCGUGAGCAUUGUUGCCUCAUGGUUGGUUGAAAAUUGAGUCCUUGGUAGGGAGCGCCGUGAUAGAUGGUGGUUGAGUGACGAACGAGACCCAAUCAUGUGAGACCCCUACCGAAUUUGGCCUUCAUGACCCACAUGCGUCUUUGGAACGCUCAUGACGAGACCUCAGGUCAGGCGGGGCUACCCGCUGAGUUUAAGCAUAUCAAUAAGCGGAGGA
rnacentral:misc_RNA from 1 species